GACGAACGCUGGCGGCGUGCUUAACACAUGCAAGUCGAACGGAAAGGCCCUGCUUUUGUGGGGUGCUCGAGUGGCGAACGGGUGAGUAACACGUGAGUAACCUGCCCUUGACUUUGGGAUAACUUCAGGAAACUGGGGCUAAUACCGGAUAGGAACUCCUGCUGCAUGGUGGGGGUUGGAAAGUUUCGGCGGUUGGGGAUGGACUCGCCGCUUAUCAGCUUGUUGGUGGGGUAGUGGCUUACCAAGGCUUUGACGGGUAGCCGGCCUGAGAGGGUGACCGGCCACAUUGGGACUGAGAUACGGCCCAGACUCCUACGGGAGGCAGCAGUGGGGAAUAUUGCACAAUGGGCGGAAGCCUGAUGCAGCAACGCCGCGUGCGGGAUGACGGCCUUCGGGUUGUAAACCGCUUUCGCCUGUGACGAAGCGUGAGUGACGGUAAUGGGUAAAGAAGCACCGGCUAACUACGUG
rnacentral:rRNA from 1 species